GUUGAACGCUGGCGGCGUGCCUAAUACAUGCAAGUCGAGCGAACAGACGAGGAGCUUGCUCCUCUGACGUUAGCGGCGGACGGGUGAGUAACACGUGGAUAACCUACCUAUAAGACUGGGAUAACUUCGGGAAACCGGAGCUAAUACCGGAUAAUAUAUUGAACCGCAUGGUUCAAUAGUGAAAGACGGUUUUGCUGUCACUUAUAGAUGGAUCCGCGCCGCAUUAGCUAGUUGGUAAGGUAACGGCUUACCAAGGCAACGAUGCGUAGCCGACCUGAGAGGGUGAUCGGCCACACUGGAACUGAGACACGGUCCAGACUCCUACGGGAGGCAGCAGUAGGGAAUCUUCCGCAAUGGGCGAAAGCCUGACGGAGCAACGCCGCGUGAGUGAUGAAGGUCUUCGGAUCGUAAAACUCUGUUAUUAGGGAAGAACAAAUGUGUAAGUAACUAUGCACGUCUUGACGGUACCUAAUCAGAAAGCCACGGCUAACUACGUG
rnacentral:rRNA from 1 species